GAGUUUGAUCAUGGCUCAGAUUGAACGCUGGCGGCAGGCUUAACACAUGCAAGUCGAACGGUAACAGGAGAAAGCUUGCUUUCUUGCUGACGAGUGGCGGACGGGUGAGUAAUGCUUGGGAAUCUGGCUUAUGGAGGGGGAUAACGACGGGAAACUGUCGCUAAUACCGCGUAGAGUCGAGAGACGAAAGUGCGGGACCGCAAGGCCGCAUGCCAUAGGAUGAGCCCAAGUGGGAUUAGGUAGUUGGUGGGGUAAAGGCCUACCAAGCCGACGAUCUCUAGCUGGUCUGAGAGGAUGACCAGCCACACCGGGACUGAGACACGGCCCGGACUCCUACGGGAGGCAGCAGUGGGGAAUAUUGCGCAAUGGGGGCAACCCUGACGCACCCAUGCCGCGUGAAUGAAGAAGGCCUUCGGGUUGUAAAGUUCUUUCGGUGACGAGGAAGGCGUGGUGUUUAAUAGACAUCACGAUUGACGUUAAUCACAGAAGAAGCACCGGCUAACUCCGUGCCAGCAGCCGCGGUAAUACGGAGGGUGCGAGCGUUAAUCGGAAUAACUGGGCGUAAAGGGCACGCAGGCGGCUAUUUAAGUGAGGUGUGAAAUCCCCGGGGCUUAACCUGGGAAUUGCAUUUCAGACUGGGUAGCUAGAGUACUUUAGGGAGGGGUAGAAUUCCACGUGUAGCGGUGAAAUGCGUAGAGAUGUGGAGGAAUACCGAAGGCGAAGGCAGCCCCUUGGGAAUGUACUGACGCUCAUGUGCGAAAGCGUGGGGAGCAAACAGGAUUAGAUACCCUGGUAGUCCACGCUGUAAACGCUGUCGAUUUGGGGAUUGGGCUUUAAGCUUGGUGCCCGUAGCUAACGUGAUAAAUCGACCGCCUGGGGAGUACGGCCGCAAGGUUAAAAACUCAAAUGAAUUGACGGGGGCCCGCACAAGCGGUGGAGCAUGUGGUUUAAAUUCGAUGCAAACGCGAAGAACCUUACCUACUCUUGACAUCCAUGGAAUUCUGUAGAGAUACGGGAGUGCCUUCGGGAAACCAUGAGACAGGUGCUGCAUGGCUGUCGUCAGCUCGUGUUGUGAAAUGUUGGGUUAAGUCCCGCAAACGAGCGCGAACCCCUAUUGCUAGUUGCCAUCAUUAGGUUGGGAAACUCUAGUAAGACUGCCUGCGAAGAGGCGGGAGGAAAGGUGGGGAUGAACGUCGAAGUCAUCGUGCCCCUUAUGGUCUGGGCUACACACGUGCUACGAAUGGCCGGUACAGAAAGCCGCGAGAGCGGCAACG
rnacentral:rRNA from 1 species